rnacentral:rRNA from 1 species
UCCGUAGGUGAACCUGCGGAAGGAUCAUUACUGAGUGAGGGCCCUCUGGGUCCAACCUCCCACCCGUGUUUAUUGUACCUUGUUGCUUCGGCGGGCCCGCCUUUAUGGCCGCCGGGGGGCUUACGCUCCCGGGCCCGCGCCCGCCGAAGACACCCUCGAACUCUGUCUGAAGAUUGUAGUCUGAGUGAAAAUAUAAAUUAUUUAAAACUUUCAACAACGGAUCUCUUGGUUCCGGCAUCGAUGAAGAACGCAGCGAAAUGCGAUACGUAAUGUGAAUUGCAGAAUUCAGUGAAUCAUCGAGUCUUUGAACGCACAUUGCGCCCCCUGGUAUUCCGGGGGGCAUGCCUGUCCGAGCGUCAUUGCUGCCCUCAAGCACGGCUUGUGUGUUGGGCCCCGUCCUCCGAUCCCGGGGGACGGGCCCGAAAGGCAGCGGCGGCACCGCGUCCGGUCCUCGAGCGUAUGGGGCUUUGUCACCCGCUCUGUAGGCCCGGCCGGCGCUUGCCGAUCAACCAAAAUUUUUUCCAGGUUGACCUCGGAUCAGGUAGGGAUACCCGCUGAACUUAAGCAUAUCAAUAAGCGGAGGA